GUGCCAGCAGCCGCGGUAAUACGUAGGUGGCAAGCGUUAUCCGGAAUUAUUGGGCGUAAAGCGCGCGUAGGCGAUUUUUUAAGUCUGAUGUGAAAGCCCACGGCUCAACCGUGGAGGGUCAUUGGAAACUGGAAAACUUGAGUGCAGAAGAGGAAAGUGGAAUUCCAUGUGUAGCGGUGAAAUGCGCAGAGAUAUGGAGGUCCACCAGUGGCGAAGGCGACUUUCUGGUCUGUAACUGACGCUGAUGUGCGAAAGCGUGGGGAUCAAACAGGAUUAGAU
rnacentral:rRNA from 1 species